AGAUAGAACACUUAAAAAUAUCUGUUUCUAUGCUGAGGGCUCUCUUUUCAGCGCUCUCUCUCUCUCUCUCUCUCUCUCUCUCUCUCUUUAAUCUUUUCACUUUGUCAUGGUAUCUUUCACAGCACAAAAGUUUUUAAUUCUCAUAAAAUCCAACUUAAUUUUUCUGUUGUUGCUAACGAUUUUUGUGUUGGAUACAGGAAGGCCUUUUCUAAUCCUAAGUCAAAAAUAUUUACUUCUGUUUUCUUCUAAGGCUUCUGUGAUUUUAGUUCUUAUGUAGAUUUGUGAUUUGUUUUGAGUUAUUUUUUGCAUAUAAGAGCCAAGAAAGCUAUAUAGGCUCAAUAAACACCUUUUUCCAGCUGCAGUUCUUCUUGACUUAUUUGAACCCAUCCGGACAGCUCAAAGGGAGGUAUGAAGUGAACUUAAGCAAGGUAUAGACACUUAGCAGAAAUCGCCUCUGGAGAGAAGACACUCGUGUUCCUUCUCGGGUAUGUCAGUAUCUGAUUUUGAUGUCAGUGCUUUUGAAAGUGCCUGACUGUGCCAAGACAGAAUCUACAUGUUGAAAGCGGCUCCACUGGGUAUGAAAGAGGUUAUACAGAAAAGCAGUUGCCCCAUGCAAUAAUCAAGUUAGAAAAGGGCAGGUCUAAGGAAGCCAUCUAAUUGGCAAAAGAAAGUCCAGCCCAGCAAUUACAGAACACCACCCACACAGCUUGGAUCUACCCCACCUGGCUGUUUCCCUACAGCAUGAAAAAAAAAAAAGUCAAAACAAUCAGACCAUUUUCUAAAUGGAAUAAAACAUUCCAGUGCAAGCAAUAAUUAGGAGAUAACUACCCUCCUGGCUGCUUUCCGCAUCGACCUCUGGCCCCCUGCCUCCCAGCGCACCUGAGACAUGCAAUUAAAUCACACCCGUCCUGCGCUAGGAUUGCACACUCGAGAGCACCCUGCAGCCUCUCCGGGGGUUUGUUUCCCCACUGACUCCUAGAGACAGGUUGUUCCUUAGUCCAGAGAGGUCAGGCAACCCACUAGGCAUGAGGCCAUGUGCUUCUCUCUGUCUCUCACAAAGCACCCAGAAUACUGUACUGCAUUGGCUGCAUUUAUCCGGAGUCCACCUCCGUACCCUAAAUCUAGGCAUCUGAAUAUAGACGAAGAUGUCAAGAUGGCUCUUCUUGCUUUCUUCCUGAGGUAGUCAGAUGGGGUUCAGGCACCUCAGAGAGAAUAGGAUGACAGGAAGCGGUUGACAGAAAGUGUUUGCAGGCAUCGAAGCAAGCCAAGGGUAGAGUUGGAGUUAAAUGUAAGAGUCCAAACUUCUCGAAUCUAGCAUUCGCACCAGCAUUACAUUCUGCUGAAUGCACAGGAUCGAGUAAGACAUGCCACUGGUCUUACUGCUUCCUAUGCGUCCACGCUCACCCACUAGAAGCCAGGUCCCUCUCCCCUCCCUCCUCCAGCACAGUUGGGACCAUGGAAUUGAUGAUGCUGAGAAAAAAAAUGUCUGGACUCUCCUCCAUGAAUCUUUCCUACAGCAUUGCCAUUCUCAUUAGCUGUUUGUCCCAGUCUGAUGACCCCAUGUCCCAUUAGGCCUCAAACUGUGUCCCAGAGCUGAAUCAGGGGACCAAGUACUCAGGACUCCCCUCAACCAAGAGAGAAGCUUGAGGGGUCUUAGAAGCCUGUAGAAUUCACUUUUGCCUUCCUAUCAUGGCUUCGACAAGCUCAGAUUCUUUGAAAACAUGGAUUGUGUCGACAACAAACACUAAAAACCACGAUGGCUAACCUCCCUUGUCUGCGUCCCAUGUGGCGAACACUAGCCUAGGUAUUUUAGAGAUGUUACCUCAGAUAGCAGAACUCUGCGAAGUAGAUGUGAGACUUUACCAAGGAGACACACAGUAACCUGUCCAGGGUCAUAACCGGUAACAGUUUCACUGAACUGUUCACUCUGGAGACAAUUCAAAAGCAAGUGGCACCUGUGUGUGACACUAUAGUCUUCCCACAUUGCAGUGUAUGGUCGGUCCGCUUUCAGAAGGGAACUGGGUGUUAACACUGCAGACCACUAACAAAUGAGACAUUUUCAGCCAGAUAUAAAUGCUGUGGAUCCCCAGAAAUGGAAUAUGGGAUAAGCAUCCCAGCUAAUGUGCAAAAUUAAAUUUACUCAACCCGCUAUAGGUUACACAUGCUGACCAGUCAAAACUAGUUAGAGAUCCUAUCUGGCUCUUGGCAGCUUUGUCCUUGGCAGCCUUGAGAGUGAGUCUGAGAAUCAAAUGCUAAUCUUUUUCCAGUUCCAAUUAGGUUACUUGCCUUGAGACAUCUUUAUUACCCAAUUAUCUUUUUCUUUCCUUCUCAGUACCUGAAGAGAUAGCCUUGAAAGAGUUUUAGCGGGGAAAUAUAUGAGGCAAUCUGGAGCUCAACAAUGCCCUGCUGUUCUGAGGGAGUCUGAACUCCACACUUACAACUGCGCACCAUGCCUUGUGUGUGGCUUCCACCAUUCUGAAGUUCCUUCUGCCCCUUCUUUCUGCCCAAAGCCCAUUCCCCACCAUCACUGGACACGUUGCCAUCCAUCCCACUGAAACCAGUUUACGGACGCCUCUUCCACAAAGCCUUCCCUCCUCUUCUCUGCUCCUGAAGCGGUAUGUCAGCCCUUCCAUGGUUGCUUUGAUUACUCUGUUUAACCUAGCUUUCAGGUCUGUCUCAGUGACUCAACUGAAAGUAUUUUUAUGUUCUGUGUGUUUUAAUUAGUCUUUUUAAUUAGCAUAUAAAACGUUAACUUCAUUAAGCAUUCUCAAACAUCAUUUGUUUGUGAUGGCUUUCCUGCCUUCCUCCCUCUCUGCCUCCCUUUGCACUCCUUAUCUCACCCUUCCUGCCCCUUCAACAUCCCUUUCUGCUCUCACGGGCCUUUUGGGUUUUGUCCCUUACACUCAUACUCACAGCCACCACAUGGAAAUGCAAGUACCUCAAAACGUUUUUAAGGUUCAACUUGUCACUCCAACCCUAUUACCUGAUACGAAAUAACUGGCUGUUCCUAACAUGAACUGAACUAAAAGCUUGGUUCUCUUCUCUCCUGAAGGGAUCUGAAUUGGCCCAGAAUGUUCUCUGAUGUUAAAGCUGCUGAGUUCCUUCCAUUUUUGAAGCACAUGGCUGAAAACAUCAUCUACAACUGUGCUGGCAGUGGAGUGGCUAAUAAAAAUCAGGUGAUGUCACAGUUCAGAGUGCACAUGUUUGUCCCACAGGGGGACUGGGUGGUGCUGGCCAAGAGGACGGGUUGUCAGUUCGUUAUUCGUAUGACUCAUGCAAAGAUUGCUGAUAACCAAUUUAAACAAUACUCUGCUGCUCUGGAGACAUUGAUUACCACAAUGAUGAUUGAUGAGGAAAGAGAAAGGUGGUGGGACGAAAAAGAAAAAGGACCCAAGGGGAGUGCCCCAGAUGGGCAGGGAGGGGCUCUCAGAGGAAUGGCCCAGCACCUCUCACUCCCCGAACUCAGUUCCCUUAGUGAACAACAUCCACCCCCAAUUUCCACAAGUCCCAUAUGUGUAGAGCCUUAUAGAAUUUUCAGAAUGACUCAAUUUAUCUGAAUCUCGUUAUCCUUCAGUUUUAACUUCUGUCUGCAGCUGUCUUCGUUCCUGCAACUCUGAACUCUUUGAGGGGUUGAUCUCGAACUAAAUAACCGAAUCAUUCUGCAUGCCCUUCCUGGGCCUUCUUUCUCCACCUUCAGAACAAAUUCCACUAGAAGCACGGGUUAUGUUUUAUUCUCGUCCCUGUGCUGCCUACGACAGGGAUGGCUAGCAGAGGAGCAGCAGUGACUCUGCAGUUUAGACGUGAAGUGGGUCCAUAGCAUCCUCUCUAAAUGGAAAAACGUCCAGGGGUGGGACUUCAAGAACGUGACUGCACUGUGAGGGCUCUGGAGUCACAGCAGGCUCUCUCAAUCGAAUAGGUCACUGGGAGGUGGGAGCCAGCUGAAGGGAGCAUGCUACAAAAUAUCUUGGCAUCCCCAGCCCUGCCAUGGAUCUCCGAGAUCAGACUCCCUAGGAGGGAGGGGAGCUUAUCCUGCUACCCAGUAACUGUGAUGGCCGCCAAGGUUAAAGACUACCGCAUUCAAGGACGCAGGCACAGAAGCGUGCGUCUCUUUUUAUAACUACUGCCAGAAGGUACUGAGCUAUUGCUGGGAGGAGAACGGAGAUCUUUACAAGGCCUCAAGUGGAGGGAUUGGGACACCAACCCAGUCACAAAACCUUCUACCUGCAUACUGUCCUGUCUAAAGAGUGUGCUGGGACCGGAGUCUAGCACAGUCAUCAUCAAAGAGACCAGAGAGACCUCAUCCAGCUACUGAUGGGAGCAGAUGACAAGGACCACAGCCAAAGAAGUCAAGUUCAAACAGCCUCCCUCUACAGCCAGUGCCUCAGAAGAUCUUCCUGUCUCGAAGUCCAAACCACCAGAGAUCCUUCCCCACAGCUUCAGACUGGAAAUCCCUCCCACCAGAAUGGGCCCAGGGCUGCACCCCUUGCCCUUUCUCACCAUCUUCUUCCACUUCAUCCUUCGGUUCUGAUACCAAGUCUUCACUUGCAGCUGCGUGAGCCCCAGAGACUGGGCCAAGUCCAACCUGGAAGGCAUGAGACACAAAGGAAGGGUGAGGAAAAUGCAGUGAGGGACAGCGGUGGGGACAUGCUGGCUGGCGCCUGGCACUUGCUACCAAAUCUCAGACUGCCACCAUUAACCCUGGCCAUGGCCGAGAGGAAGGGUGUCUCCCUUCUCAGAACGCUGUGUAGGGCUGGAAAACAGGAAAAGAGGGGCCACACGUAAGACCACGGGCAGAGUCCCCAUCCCAGAAUCAUUCUCUCUCUGAAAUGAACCUCAACAUCCAAGCCUUUGAUCUUCACCCCUAUAUCUAUAAAAUGUAGGCUCAAGAUCCCAAAAGCUAGAAACAGGAAGUAAAGCUGUACUUCUAUGGGAAUUCCACUCAUCUCUCCAGAUUCACCUCCGGUGUUGGUGAGCUCCCAUAACUCCUUUGACUCAGCAGUCACCCCAAUGGACCAUGCUGUCCAUGCUACUUGUGCCUCCCCAGCUCAAGACCAAGCCUUGAGCUUGUGUUCACAAAACUGCCUACUACGUCACUAGAUCCCAAAGCAGGACUCAGAAAUAUUUUUGCACAUGCAUGUGUAUAUAGUUAGGUGCAUGCAUGUUUGUGUGUGGUGUGUGUAGAAACCCAAGGUUGACGUCAAGCAUUACAUCCUACUAUAUUUAUUGGCACAGGGUAUCUUGGUGAACCCAGAGUUCCCCCAUUGCCCUGGACAGCCCCUAUUUGUGCCUGCUAAAGGCGCAAGGGUUACAGGCAGCGGCCAUACCUACCCAAUUUUUACGAAGGUUCUGGGCAUCUGAACUUCAGGCCUCGUACUCGUGAAGCAAGUGACUCGUGUGCUAAAACAUCCCCUUCAGCCCCAGGAAUGUUCCUAAAUUAUUACAAUGGUUGGAAUGUACAACCCAAUGAAGCCAUAAAUCCAUAGUCCCUCCUGCUUUCUAGGCCCACUGUAUUUCUACUUUGAAACCUUCUGGAAAGUCCUAAGGUUGAAGCCAUUUGUACAGUGAGAAGUCAUUCGAGCACACAGCAACCAUCUCCAGAGCAUGCCAGCACCCCAAACACACACUUUAAGCCACUGCCCAGUGCUAUCUUUUCACCACACCGAGCUUGGUAGGUAUAAUUAUUCCCAUUUUACAGAUAGAAGAUUUAACGCUUAGCGAGAGAGUAGAAUUUCACGAUGACAUGGCCAAGCUAUUCCUGACACUUGAUUUUUUUUCCUGUUCAAUAAAGUCUAUUGGAACGCA
rnacentral:sRNA from 1 species